GCCCUAGUAGCUUAGCCUCAAAGCGCCGGUCUUGUAAUCCGGAAAUCGGAAGUUAAAGUCCUCCCUAGUGCC
rnacentral:tRNA from 1 species